GCACCCCUAAAACCGAAUAUCAGCAGCUAAAAAAAAUUGUUUCGUGAUUAGGUUCAUCUACUCUAAACUUAUACAAAGUUUCAGAUUUUUUUGAAUUUUACACUUGCCGAACUUCCCUUGUUAGUACACGAAACAACGAUGAUUAUAUUAACGAUAACCAUAAUUUAGGUAGUGCCAAAUUUGAUCAUAUUAUAAAAUUACCUUAUGUUAAAGAACUUAGCGAU